AUUUCCUUGCAACUCCUCUCGGCUGGUUUUGUCUUUCCUUUUCCUUUUUUUUUUUAAGAGAAAUUAAUUAAUUAAAUAUCCAAUUGUCUCUUUGGAGAGUUGGGUUGGUCACAGUUAGUAGCGGCGUGCUCUCCUUGUUGCAGUUGGAACAAUCUCCCCUGAGCUCCCCAGUAGAUUGGCGGCUCAGAAUUGGUGUUGUCAAAGAGGGUUUUAGUUCAGGAUAUCAUCAAUUGAAGUUAUGGUGUCUUUGAUUGCUAGAGGAAAAUUUGAAACCUAGUUUUAGUUUAAUCUUGAAGUUGGCAUAAAAGUCAAAUCCUUAGUGAUUAUUGCAUCGAGACAUUACUGCCUGAAACAAGAUGGUUGGGAAUUCAUUGGCAUGCCCUUCUGUGCUAUCUUCAUCAUUGAUUAUUAAGCCUCAUUGUUCUUCUUCGAAUUUCAUGCCAUAUCUUCCAUCAAGACCACAGAAGCAACUCGCAAGGAUAAGAGCUUCUUCAGCGGAUGCUGAACAUAACCAAGCAUCAGCUUCUUCUUCUUCUUCUUCUUCUUCUAAUGAAAAAAAGAAUCCACUUGCAGUUGUUUUGGAGGUUCCUCAAAAUUUAUGGCGGCAAACAUUAAGGCCAUUAAGUGAUUUUGGGUUCGGACGGAGGAGCGUAUGGGAAGGUGGGGUGGGGUUGUUUCUUGUGUCUGGUGCAGUUCUUCUUGCACUUAGUUUGGCUUGGUUGAGAGGGUUUCAAUUGCGUUCUAAAUUCAGAAAGUAUACAGCUGUACUCGAGUUUGCUCAAGCCUGUGGUAUAUGCACUGGUACCCCUGUUAGGAUUAGAGGUGUAACUGUUGGUAAUGUCAUCCAAGUUAAUCCUUCCUUGAAAAGUAUUGAAGCAGUCGUUGAGGUUGAAGAUGAUAAAAUAAUCAUUCCUAGGAAUUCACUAAUUGAGGUGAAUCAGUCAGGUCUCCUUAUGGAAACACUGAUUGAUAUCACACCUAAGGAUCCAAUUCCAUCACCUUCUGUAGGACCUCUUGAUGCUGAAUGUGUUAAGGAAGGUCUAAUUGUAUGUGAUAGGCAAAAGAUAAAGGGACAACAAGGGGUAAGUGUAGAUGCAUUGGUUGGGAUAUUCACCCGUCUUGGACGUGAAAUGGAGGAAAUUGGUGUUUCUAAAACUUAUAAAUUGGCUGAGCGUGUUGCUGCUGUUAUUGAAGAGGCAAAGCCACUGCUUACAAAGAUCCAUGGCAUGGCUGAAGAUGUUCAACCUUUGCUUGCCGAGGUUCGUGAUAGUGGUCUCCUUAAGGAAGUUGAGAGUUUGACCAGAAGCCUAACGCAAGCCUCAGAAGAUUUAAGUUUUAGAUGGAAUAUUAAUUUCGCUUUAGCAAUUUGUAACUUAAACAACAAUGAAGUCAAUAUUGGAUUUCUUUGGGACUUUCAGAAACCACAUGAGAAAGAGCACAUACUUCUAUUAUGACCCCCGAGAACACUGAGUUGAUUCAGAAGUCCAUUUACAGUCUGAUAUUCACUUUGAAAAACAUAGAGAAUAUAAGCUCUGAUAUUCUGGGAUUCACGGGUGAUGAAACUACAAGAAGGAACUUGAAAGCACUCAUCAAGUCUCUCAGUAGGAUGUUAUGAAGGCAAGUGAAUGAUUCUCAUCACUAUCACAGAGAGGACAAGUCCAUUUUCCAAGUCUUCUUCUUUUGGCUGCAUUGCCAUAGAGGGGUUCAUGUUAAGAGGUACUCAGGUACUCGUUGCAUUCUUUCUAAUCAACUUCCGUUGGAUGUUUCCUUAACCUUGUCAGGAGUGAAGGGUAGAAGCUUUUCAUUGAAGCUCUUUUGUUAUAGGAAACAUGUGAUUAGCUUUUUGAAUUCCUGAAAAAGCUCCAAUUUUUUUUUUUUCAAUGGGAUAUAUUUUUCCCAGCUAAAAGCUCCAUCAUGAAGAAAAUAGAAUACAUCAUCAAAACUUGCUGGUUGUUAAAUUCUUUUUGUUGGCAUGUCAUCAUCUUUCUUUCCGAAAAACUUCCAGAAUCUUAUCGAAAGAAUCGAAAAAACUUCCAUUGGGAGUUUUCUUAGAA